GCUUAACGCGAAGAACCUUACCAAGGCUUAAAUGUAUUAUGACCGUCCUGGAAACAGGACUUUCUUCGGACAGAAUGCAAGGUGCUGCAUGGCUGUCGUCAGCUCGUGCCGUGAGGUGUCAGGUUAAGUCCUAUAACGAGCGCAACCCCUAUCACUAGUUGCCAGCGUUUCAAGACGGGGACUCUAGUGAGACUGCCAACGCAAGUUGCGAGGAAGGUGGGGACGACGUCAAGUCAUCACGGCCCUUACGCCUUGGGCCACACACGUGCUACAAUGGCCGGUACAGAGGGCAGCUACUAUGUGAAUAGAUGCGAAUCUCGAAAGCCGGUCUCAGUUCGGAUUGGAGUCUGCAACUCGACUCUAUGAAGCUGGAAUCGCUAGUAAUCGCAUAUCAGCCAUGAUGCGGUGAAUACGUUCCCGGGUCUUGUACACACCG
rnacentral:rRNA from 1 species